AUCAGCCUUUUGGGUGUGAUUUUGUGGAGUGUGAGGAGCUAAUCGCCUUCAUACCUGUAUAUUCGUGUACUUGGGGUGUACUUAUUCGUGGGGUAAGUUAACAUCAAUUUUGGUGGUCAUAAAAUGACUGGAGGAAUGUAGCUUCGAUCUCGUAUUGAAGUGUUAUAGCCUUCGGUAGAUGUGAUGAUCGAGAUUGAGGAUUGCAAUGGAUACCCUUCGGGGCUACCUGUCUGGUCUCUGAUUGUUGCUCUGGUGCCGAAAGCUUGCUUACGGUUAUCAAAGUCGAUGGUCAAUAGGUUAGAACGGGUUAAAUUCGUUAAGGAUGUUGACGUAAUGGCUUU
rnacentral:rRNA from 1 species